rnacentral:rRNA from 1 species
CGCUGGCGGCGUGCCUAAUACAUGCAAGUCGAACGGCUUUUCUAUGGAAGCUUGCUUCCACUGAGAAGAUAGUGGCGAACGGGUGAGUAACACGUGGGUAACCUGCCCAUAAGAGGGGGAUAACAUCCGGAAACGGGUGCUAAUACCGCAUAGUUUUCUUGAUCGCAUGAUUGAGAAAGGAAAGACGGCCUUUGUGCUGUCGCUUAUGGAUGGACCCGCGGCGUAUUAGUUAGUUGGUGAGGUAAUGGCUCACCAAGACGAUGAUACGUAGCCGACCUGAGAGGGUGAUCGGCCACAUUGGGACUGAGACACGGCCCAAACUCCUACGGGAGGCAGCAGUAGGGAAUCUUCCGCAAUGGACGAAAGUCUGACGGAGCAACGCCGCGUGAGUGAAAGAAGGUUUUCGGAUCGUAAAACUCUGUUGUCAGAGAAGAACAAGUUGGAGAGUAACUGCUCCAGCCUUGACGGUAUCUGACCAGAAAGCCACGGCUAACUACGUGCCAGCCGCCGC